rnacentral:lncRNA from 1 species
GGAAGGGUUAUACACCACUUGCUGCUGACUGUAAGGAAAGGCCAUUUGGUGAGACAUCAUGAUGUUCCCGACAGAGGGAGAGAUAAGAAUUCAGGUCCCGGCAGGGAUUUUCAUUCCAUUGAACUUUGUCAGCGGCUUACACAUUUGGCCAGGAAUUAUAACUUCCUUAGGGAAGGUAUGAAUCACAUCACACAAAAAUCUCUGUCCAAGACCAAAUCUGAGGAGACUUUUAUCUGUCUGUGUGGAAUUCCAUAAAAUGAAACCCCCAACUCCUUUCUCAACUUGUUCUCAGAAGUCUCGUGAGAUUUUUCCCUGCUACCCUCAUCCCUUGUAGGCUGUUUCUCCGAGAAACCUGUCCAGCCAACCUGUUGAAGGCAUAUGCGCCGUAUUUUCACCAGCAUUUCCUUAAGAUAUUGGAUCUGAGCUAGGGGUGUAGCAUUGCUUAACAUAUGAGAGACCCAAGUUCAAUCCCCAGCACCACCAAGAAAGAGAACAUUGGUGUGAUGAAAGAAGACCUUGAUGCUAAGGAUUUCUUUUCAGAAUAAAAGCAUGAUCUUAAAAACUGCAAACAAGGUUCAAGACAUGAGGAAAAGAACACAGUAUUGAGGAGGAUUCUGGGAAGAUGGGUUUCACCACGGCUGCUCCUGUCAUUGGUUAUCCAGGAGGUGACAUGGAUAAACCCUUGAAAUCACAUUCAUCACAUACAGGCUGCCAAGAGCAUUCAUUCACACGGAACAAGGGAUGCAGGAAACACUUCAGAGGACAGCCCUCAUCUCUUCCUUCAAGCCAGACCUACCAAUUCUGCUGUUCCAUGAUGUGCUGCAUUGAACAAAAGGGGAUUUGGUACCCGGUGGCCGAGAAGUGAGCCUCAAGGGGCCCAUCAGGCCACUAGAUCUGUUUCUCUGGGUGCAUGACUGCCACACACAUCAUGACUCCACCUCCUCAAGACCUGUGUCCUGAGUCUUCUGUGCAGCUGUGCCUUCCAGGCCCUUCAUGGUGGCCUUCGUUUCUGUCUGUCUUUCCCUGCUACCUGAUAAGACUAAUUUUGCUUCUAAUUUCAUAUCUUGGCGGAGCUCUUGGGGGGAUUAUUCAUGAUUUCCAUUUGUCUUUUCUUACUACCGUAGCUCAGACUCCACAAACAACUCUAGGGUGUGGGUAGCUCAUACUUGCUAGCUAUCUGCCAGUCUGCUGAGGAACUGGAGACAGACCAGCUGGGUGGGGCCACAGACCCAGAGACUCACUGUAACCCAGACAUUAGCCGGAUUCUCAUACGACUUGACUCCAUGGACCCUCACUAUAACAUGACAGACAAAAUGAGGCUGUGAGUCUGUGCCCAACAGUCUGAAACAUCUGCAAAACCAAGCAAUGCCACUGCUCAACAGACACCAAUACUCCGUAUUUGCAAAUGCUUGCAUCAUUGCAACUGUCUUGACAUCAUCCUCCAUGGCUACCUUAGUGAUGUUUUCAACAGCUAAGCUUCCACAUUAUGUAAAGGGCAGUAUUUCAUGCCUCUUACCCCAGGAUAGUGACCAUGUCAGCUGCCAACCAGUGCAUGAUCCAAUCUCUAAACUGCUACUCAAACCAUGCUUAAUGCCAUUGGUGUUUAACUGUAUCUUCUGAGAAGCAGACAGGACUACAGGCAACUCCCCAUCAUGUUCAGCACUCCAAUGAACUGAGGACCCAAUAUCUGGUUAAAGAAAUGAUCUGACUAGACACAUACAGAGUUUUUUCUGUCAUUAUUCCCUAAUAAAAUGGUGAUUUACACACAUUAGUUUUUAUAAGAACUCUAGAUACAGUACAGAGCUCACAAGAGGAUUGUAUAUAGGUUCUACACAAAUGCUAUAUAUACUAUUUCAUAUAAGAGACUUGAGUAUCUGUACAUGUUGACAUCCUGGAACCAAUCCCCUACUGAGGUAGAAAGCUGCUCUAUCUAAACUGAAAUUACAUAGGUUCUUAUUAGUAAACAUUAUUGUGUGAGGGUGAAAAGGCCUGAAAACACAGUCCUCUGACUAUGCAUGUGACCCAAGUAAAUAAAGGGAUGGGUAUCCAGUCCAUUGGCUGGUACUUCUGGGCAAACAUAUUGUGUGGCUAGAGCUCUGGGUGGAGAGCAUCCUUGUCCACUAUGGAGUAGAAGCCACACUUCUAGUAGAGCUCUUUCAAGAUCUUUGGAGCCACCACAUGCCGAAAGUUUGCUAUUAUGACCGUAAUGAGAAAAUCAGUAGGACAUGAGAUACUAAUUUAUACUCUGUUUAGAGAAGAUUGAACUUCCCUUCUGUGGCCCAAAGGUGAAACCAGAUGUCACAGAGGAAGAGGGGGGAGUGGUACCCAGCGGGCACACCCCUCCCACCCACAGUGAGUUUUCUUAAUGGCUGUCUGUCUUAUAUCCAGCAACUAUAGCUUUAAGGGCUUUAGGGAACAUUUAUUCUUUAUUAUGACACAAUACGAAUAAACCACAGAGCCAAGUUCAUGGAGACAAAGUCAGGGAUGCCAGGAGCCUGCUGUGGAGGGAUGUGCCUUUACUACUAUUUCUUCAGGGGACAAAGACAGGCUGGUGCUUUUAUGAGACACUGUGGUGGUUGUAUUCAUUAGUAGCAAGCACUGAGAAGUUAAGCUCCCACUGUAAUAUGCCAUUCAUGGCCUGUUUAAUAUACUAAGUGUGAUGGCUAGACCCCUGCUGACUUCCACUGGGGAACAUAAAUAUACAGGCAACUAAACUAAACAGCUACCUGUGACUAUUUGAAAAUAUACUUCCCCAAGACAGAAUGAAUUUUCAUUUUUAUUGGAUUUUUUGAAAAAAUUCUUCCAGGUGGAAAUCAUCUUCAUAUACCUAUGAACCAUCACUCUUUGCUGACAAAUGAUGCUACUGAGACUGCUUUUUGAGCUGUAUUAUUAAAUCAUUGUUAAAUUAUUGACUAAUUACAGUUGUGUUUUGUUUAACUUGAUUUCAUCUACUCAUUUAAAAAAAUUCAAGUCUAAUUUUGUGUAUCAGUAUAUUUUAUAGACUCGCAGAACCUUUAAAGAAAAACCAAGCAUUGUGAGUGAAAACAUGAUUUAGAUUAGGAGAAAAUAAACAGAUUUUCCAGCUGUAAGAGAAAAGUGCCCUCUGAUGAUGGACACUUGGGAUCUGAUUUCCAUCCUCAGGAAGUACCACCCAUCCACCCUGUUGGGCACUGCCCACAAUGUCAGUUAACACUGGUGUCUUCACACAGUUCCAAUGCUCUCUUGGGUCCCACUUGUGACUCGAGCAACAACUAAGGCAACACCUGGAAGCCUUUUCUUUGGGACCUACCAGACACUAGUGCUGGGACACUAGCUUAUGGAUCAAAAAGUCCUCAUGUGUGCGAUGUCCUAGUUGCCAUUCUGUGAAACAUAAAUGCUCACCAAUGAAGUUGCCCCAACAGCCAGUGUGGCACCCUGGGAUGUGGGCUAGAGAAAGAUACGGCUACCAACCAAUGCCUGCCUACGUCUGUCUAACAGGCAGAUAUCUGUUGACAGCUCAUUGUAAACACAGGUACACAAAUACACUCUCCUGCAUGGUUUCACACAUAUAAGUGUGCAGAGAGGGGGGGAGCAAGUACGUACCUGGGCCUCUCCACUACUCAAGAUUAAGUCUAGCAGAAGGGACAAUAAUGUAGUCAGGGGAUUAACCAUGAGAUAGAUGUGGAUGAUGCUGAGCUCACAUAGAAAACUGUUUCACAGAAAGAAACAGUUCUCUUAAACACAAGGAGCAUGCUAUACAGUAGAGACCAAAAGCCCACUUCAGUAAAUUCACACUCUAAGUACCACAGUGAUUUUCUCCAUAAUAAAGCAGUAAACAUUGUUCACAGCCUGUACUUUUGGAUGCUUGGUAACACAGUGAGUCUGUCCAUGCCAGUGUCACUACAGCUCCAUUAUAAUCCAGGGACCACUGUUUUAUCUGUGGUCUUCUCACUGACUGUAGUGUUAUUUUGCAAUGCAUGACUGAACUUCUCUCUACCUUUUUGCAGUACAAGAACUCUGGUUUUAAAAGCACAGACUCAGUGUGAUGAGUCAUACCCUCAGGGCCCUCCAAUCAGAACACCAGCUUUCAGGCAAUGUGAUCCUUGCAAAACUUCUCCAUCCUGUGGGGUCAGCUUUCUGUUCCUGUGAUGAACCAGCUUAUGAAGAAGAAAGGUUUAUUGUGGUUCACGUUUUGGAGGUUCUAAGCCAGGGCUCCCUGGCUUGAGUGCUUUGCCCUUGACAUGAGCAUUGAAGGGAAUAAUAAUGAGACGUUAAUUAAUUAUGAGAUGUUAAUUAAUGUAAUAGUUGAUACUCCUAAAUUUAAUGGUUUGAUUAGUCAUCGUGGCUGGAGUCUGUGGCAGAGAAAGUUGCUCUCUUCGUGACAAAUGGGAAGCAAAGAGGAAAAGGAAGAGGCUGUGGUCCCAAUAUUCCUCUCAAGAGCACACACAUAGUGAAAAAAAAAAUCUUCUUCUAGCAGGCCCAUCUCCAAACAGUCCAGCACUUUCCAAAGGCACCAAUGGCACCACAAAGCCCAAGUGCACCUUUGGGGCAUGUUUAAGAUCUAAAUUGUAGCAAGGACUAUUCGGUCAUCACCACUGUCCUGGAAAACCAGUGUCACUCUUUCCUUUUCAAGUCUAGAUGUUGGUGCUCAACAGGCUUCAGGGAAAGCUCAGGACAGAGCUGUCACUCUCCUGGACUUCUCCUGAUUGUCUUGCCUCAGCACUGGUGACAGUAGGACCGGUAGGGUUGACCAAGUUCCCUUUUAGAGUUGGAUCCUUUUAUAAGAUAAAUCAGUAACCUUUCUCUAGUGUAUUUCCUUGGGAACCUCUAUUUUGUUGGCUGAUAAAACAGGCAGCUGGCAGCUUUUUUUCGGAAUGAUUCCUGAAAUAGGCAGGCUUUGGGGUAAGAAGCAUAUCAAGGGCCCAGCUGGGUGUAGUCUGUCAAAGUCUCCUCCCCACCCUGCCAGCACCAUGUGACCAGGGCGGAGGUAAGGGAACACUUCCUCUGCUGAGCACCUGUCCAAGCCUGGACAGAACACCACAGCCUGCUCCUUUGUUUCUUUGCACAGCUGAGAAAGCUUGGGGUUUUCAAAAGAAAUCCUUCCUAAAACAUCACUGAGAAGCAAACAAUAUGUGACCAAAGAAAAGACCAAAAGCUAAAAACCACCUUCAAAGUUCUGAGGUCCACAAAAGCCACCCUUCACCCCUACCCCCAACCCGUACCCCAAGUUUGCAGGCUUGUUUGGUUUCCUGGCCUUCUAAGUCUUCUUCAUCUCCUGCUCCCCUUCUCCCUGCCAUGCCUGUCUUUGUCUCCUCUUUUCUAAGGGAGACACUCUUGCCACAUAAGAAAUAGAAGAUGAACAGCUGGUGUCACCGCUGAAAAACAGCAGCCCUGCCCCGGAAAUGUGCCACAUGAGGAAGAGGAGGCCACCGGCUCAGGACUGUGCUCCCUUCCCUGGUGCAAGGGGUGUAGGGACCAGGACAAGAGAGCAGAGAUUCGGAGCUGUUCUCUGCAUCUGUGACCUGCCAGUUGUCCUGGGCAUGUGACAGAAUUGGAUGGGCCCCAGUGCCCUCAGCAAGAUGGAAAUAACUAUGUUCCUGCUCAAGGGGACGUGAAAAACAUCGUGAAAUGGCACACAGGAGGUACUGAACAGACUGACCCAUGGAAAGCUGAGCUUGGCAUGACUCAGUGCUGUCAUCACAAGGGUAGCUGGAGCCCAAGAAGCAGAGGCAGAGCCUGGUGACACAGGUGAAAGAGCUUUGUAUGUGUGCAACUCUGGGAAUUCCAUGACACCAUCCCCAAGCUUUGUUCUUGCCACUCAGGCCUCCUGCCAAGCGUGUUUGUGCACUCAGCGAGUCCUGGGCCUUUGCUUGCCUGACACACCUGUAGGAAUAUGAGGCAGAAAAGCCACGAAGAGGGAGGGAGAAGAACAAGCAGGAGGACUGAGCUCUCCAAUAGCACACGGAGCAUAUGCAGGCAUCACUGAAAGGUGGUGAACCAGGAGAAAUCAUGCAUGUGGGCUUUGCUUUGAGAGCUGAGAACCCAAAGCUAAGCAGCUCAGAUGAAUGGGGUGCGUUUCCAGGAAGCCUCUCAUUUCCUCUGGUUUCUUUUCACUACUGAUAUCUUCCUUUCCACAAUCCCCUUGCCUCUCCUCCUCUUAAUUAAAAAAAAAAGCAAUGGAACACAGGGGCACAUGUUGUAAUCCCAGUACCCAACAGACUGAGACAAGAGGAUUGCAAGUUCAAGGCCAGACUAGGGUACAUAGUGAGAACCUGCCUCAAAAUAAAACCAAAAACAAAAUAAUUAACGUUACCUGGAACAUACUGGUGGUUUUCAGUAAUUAGAAAAGUCGAUAUCUCCCACUUUGUUUAAUAUACUAGUUUACACUGCCAUAAAGGGUUGAGACAGUGUCUGUUCUGGUUCCCAGGGAAACUUCAGGCCUGUAGGCAUGCCUACUGCGUGGUGGGAUGCUCAGAGAGUGUUGGAUGAUGGCUAGAGAAUUCAAAUCAUAAGGCUGAUAAAUAUUUCUAUUCUAGGACUUCAUUAAAUAUGAUACAUUGUCUUCACUGGGGUUUCUACUGCUCCAAUGAAACACCAUGACCAAAAAGUUGGGGAGGAAAGGGUUUAUUCAGCUUAUACUUCCAUAUCACAGUUCAUCAUCAAAGGAAGUCCGAACAGGAACUCAAUCAGCAGGAUUCUGGAAGCAGGAGCUGAUGCAGAGGCCAUGGAGGAGUGCUGCUUACUGGCUGGUUCAUCGUGGCUGGCUCAGCCUGCUUUGUGAUAGAACCCAGGACCACCAGCUCGGGGAUGGCACCACCCACAACGGGCUGAACCCUCCCCCAUCAAUUACUAAUUAAGAAAACACCCCACAACCCAAUCUCAUGGGGGAAUUUUCCCAACUAAGGUUCUCUCCUCUCAGAUGACUUUAGCUUGCAUCAAGUUAACAUAAAACUAUCCAGCACAGACACAGAUUUUACUCACUUUCCACCUCUGAAGGUCACACAGGUAGGGGACCAUGACAGCAAAUGAAUAAGCUCCAUAAUAAACUAAGAAGGGAAAAGAGGGCCUGAAGAUGUGGGUCCAUGGGUAAGAGCACUUGCCAAACAAGCACAGGGAACUGAGUUUGAUUCCCCCCCCACACCAUAUCCAUAGAAAGAGGUGUGGGUAGCCAUCUGUGCCUGUAAUGCUCUGUGACAGGUGGUAACAAAGGGACUGUAGAGGGCUUACUUGCUGCCUUCCUGCUUAGUGAAAAAUCAGCUAGCUCCAGGUUCAUCUCCAGCCAUCUCAAGAGAAUGAGGCCGAGACUGAUGGAGUAGAACACCCAUAUCUUUCCUCUUG